GACGAACGCUGGCGGCGUGCUUAACACAUGCAAGUCGAACGAAGUCGCGCACGUGUGAGUAACGCGUAUUCAACCUGCCCUUCAGAGGGGUCCAACUUGUGGAAACGACUGCUAAUACCGAAUACUGACUGAGGUGAUUGCGUCUGAUUAGCUAGUUGGAGGGGUAACGGCCCACCAAGGCGAUGAUAAGUAGCCGGUAUGAGAGGAUGAACGGCCACAUUGGGACGGAGACACGCCCAAGACGCAUACGGGAGGCAGCAGUGGGGAAUCUUCCGCAAUGGACGAAAGUCUGACGGAGCAACGCCGCGUGAGUGAUGACGGCCUUCGGGUUGUAAAGCUCUGUUAUUCGGGACGCGGUACCGGAAUAGAAAGCCACGGCUAACUACGUGCCAGCCGCCGCGGUAAUUC
rnacentral:rRNA from 1 species